CGCGCCUGAACAAUGAGCCCCGGCCGGGCCGCGCCUCAGCGCCCACCGGCGUGCGCGGCGGCGGCGGCGGGAACCCGAACCCUCCUCCUCUUCCUCCUCCUUCUUCUCUCCCCCUAUCCCCCCCUCCUCCCCACCGUCCAGGAGUUUUUUAAACUUUAAAGCGCAGGUUCCAUCACCCUCCCCCGCCUUUGUCCCUCGGACGCGGCGCUCGGCCACCGAAAAGCGGCGGAGGCUGCGUCCCGCCGCCUUGCCUCCGCCCUCCCCCCGCAGAGGCAGGCUUGGGAAAUGAGGUGCCAGCUAUGUCCUGGCAAGGAUGCUCCAGGUGUUGGCUCCUUCCCGGAGAGCGGCGGAACCCUGCGUUGUGUCUGGGAAACCUCGGGUGUAGUGGCAGCAAAAAAAACCCAAAAACCCCAACUUGGUGUUUUUGUGGCAGUCACUGGAGUCUGGGUGGACUUGUGAGCCUGGAUUUCAUCUCAGGAGUGCAGGAUGUAAAGGCUUCUGUUACCUGCCUCGACUGUGGAUAAACUGUAAUGGAUGCAGCUGACAGCUACCAACAAGUUCUGCCCAGAGUGGGGGAGCUGGGAGAGAGGUCGAGCUGGACUCAGCUUCAGGUGUGAACAAAGGUGGCCCCUGGGCUGAGGCUUCCCAAAGGAAGGUUUGGUCUGGAAUUUGUUUUCAUGACCCAGGUGAAGACCUUUGGAAAAGAACUUUUAUCAUGGCAACAGAAUAUCUAUACGUAUCAGCUAAAGGGACAUAUUGAAAGUUUCUGAGAAUGCAGAGAUACUUCUUGGCUUUCCUUUGUUUUCUCAGAAGUGAGAAUGCCUUGUGUGCUCUAGUUUAUAGAAGAGUUGUAUAAAAUCCCCUCUCAAGCUAUUAGAGGAAACUGAUUCAAAGUUCCAGAUGAAAAUUCAAUGUUUAAACCUGUUUGUUCCCCUCUGCCCCAUCCUUCUGCAUGCUGCAGAUGUUUGAGAAGUCUGGAGAACUGUUUGGAGAGCUACAACUGACUGGAAAUGUUCUGUGGGCUAAAUAUCUUAAAUGUUCUGUUCACAACAGUAAAUAAAU